rnacentral:rRNA from 2 species
UUCGGCACACAGACAGUGAUAGAUCUUCCACAAUGGACGCAAGUCUUGUUGGAGGCAACGCCGCGUGAGUGAAGAAGGCUUUCGGGUCGUAAAACUCUGUUGUUGGAGAAGAAUGGUCGGCAGAGUAACUGUUGUCGGCGUGACGGUAUCCAACCAGAAAGCCACGGCUAACUACGUGCCAGCAGCCGCGGUAAUACGUAGGUGGCAAGCGUUAUCCGGAUUUAUUGGGCGUAAAGCGAGCGCAGGCGGUUUUUUAAGUCUGAUGUGAAAGCCCUCGGCUUAACCGAGGAAGCGCAUCGGAAACUGGGAAACUUGAGUGCAGAAGAGGACAGUGGAACUCCAUGUGUAGCGGUGAAAUGCGUAGAUAUAUGGAAGAACACCAGUGGCGAAGGCGGCUGUCUGGUCUGUAACUGACGCUGAGGCUCGAAAGCAUGGGUAGCGAACAGGAUUAGAUACCCUGGUAGUCCAUGCCGUAAACGAUGAAUGCUAGGUGUUGGAGGGUUUCCGCCCUUCAGUGCCGCAGCUAACGCAUUAAGCAUUCCGCCUGGGGAGUACGACCGCAAGGUUGAAACUCAAAGGAAUUGACGGGGGCCCGCACAAGCGGUGGAGCAUGUGGUUUAAUUCGAAGCAACGCGAAGAACCUUACCAGGUCUUGACAUCUUUUGAUCACCUGAGAGAUCAGGUUUCCCCUUCGGGGGCAAAAUGACAGGUGGUGCAUGGUGUCGACCCUCG